rnacentral:rRNA from 1 species
AGUGAACGCUGGCGGUAGGCCUAACACAUGCAAGUCGAACGGCAGCACAGUAAGAGCUUGCUCUUACGGGUGGCGAGUGGCGGACGGGUGAGGAAUACAUCGGAAUCUACUUUUUCGUGGGGGAUAACGUAGGGAAACUUACGCUAAUACCGCAUACGACCUACGGGUGAAAGCAGGGGAUCUUCGGACCUUGCGCGAUUGAAUGAGCCGAUGUCGGAUUAGCUAGUUGGCGGGGUAAAGGCCCACCAAGGCGACGAUCCGUAGCUGGUCUGAGAGGAUGAUAAGCCACAAUGGAACUGAGACACGGUCCAGACUCCUACGGGAGGCAGCAGUGGGGAAUAUUGGACAAUGGGCGCAAGCCUGAUCCAGCCAUACCGCGUGGGUGAAGAAGGCCUUCGGGUUGUAAAGCCCUUUUGUUGGGAAAGAAAAGCAGCAGGUUAAUACCCCGCUGUUCUGACGGUACCCAAAGAAUAAGCACCGGCUAACUUCGUG